GGGAGUAGCUCAGCGGUAGAGCAUCUCGUUGCCAACGAGAAGGUCGCCGGUUCAAUUCCGGUCUCCC
rnacentral:tRNA from 1 species